rnacentral:rRNA from 1 species
UUGGAGGGCAAGUCUGGUGCCAGCAGCCGCGGUAAUUCCAGCUCCAAUAGCGUAUAUUAAAGUUGUUGCAGUUAAAAGGCUCGUAGCUGAAUUUCGGGAUUGACGUGAUGGUCAUGCCUUAAGGGGUAUGAACUGUUGCAGUUGAUUUCUCACCUUCUGGAGAAACUUGAUGUCCUUUAUUGGGUGUCUCGCGGAUCCAGGACCUUUACCUUGAAAAAAUUAGAGUGUUUAAAGCAGGCAUUUUUGCUCGAAUACAUUAGCAUGGAAUAAUAGAAUAGGACGGCAUGGUUCUAUUUUGUUGGUUUCUAGGAUCACCGUAAUGAUUAAUAGGGAUAGUUGGGGGCAUUAGUAUUCAAUUGUCAGAGGUGAAAUUCUUGGAUUUAUUGAAGACUAACUACUGCGAAAGCAUUUGCCAAGGAUGUUUUCAUUAAUCAAGAACGAAAGUUAGGGGAUCGAAGACGAUCAGAUACCGUCGUAGUCUUAACCAUAAACUAUGCCGACUAGGAAUCAGACGAUGUUAAUUUUUUAGUGACUCGUUUGGCACCUUACGGGAAACCAAAGUGUUUGGGUUC